rnacentral:rRNA from 1 species
UGGGGAAUAUUGCACAAUGGAGGGAACUCUGAUGCAGCGACGCCGCGUGAACGAAGAAGGCUUUCGAGUCGUAAAGUUCUUUUAUAUGGGAAGAUAAUGACGGUACCAUAAGAAAAAGCCCCGGCUAACUACGUGCCAGCAGCCGCGGUAAUACGUAGGGGGCUAGCGUUGUCCGGAAUCACUGGGCGUAAAGGGUUCGCAGGCGGAAAUGCAAGUCAGGUGUAAAAGGCAGUAGCUUAACUACUGUAAGCAUUUGAAACUGCAUAUCUUGAGAAGAGUAGAGGUAAGUGGAAUUUUUAGUGUAGCGGUGAAAUGCGUAGAUAUUAAAAAGAAUACCGGAGGCGAAGGCGACUUACUGGGCUCAUUCUGACGCUGAGGAACGAAAGCGUGGGUAGCAAACAGGA